rnacentral:rRNA from 1 species
UGGGGAAUUUUGGGCAAUGGGCGAAAGCCUGACCCAGCAACGCCGCGUGAAGGAUGAAGUAUUUCGGUAUGUAAACUUCGUAAGAAUAGGAAGAAUAAAUGACGGUACUAUUUGUAAGGUCCGGCUAACUACGUGCCAGCAGCCGCGGUAAUACGUAGGGACCAAGCGUUGUUCGGAUUUACUGGGCGUAAAGGGCGCGUAGGCGGCAAUUCAAGUCAUCUGUGAAAUCUCCGGGCUUAACUCGGAACGGUCAGAUGAUACUGCUUUGCUAGAGUGCAGAAGGGGCAAUCGGAAUUCUUGGUGUAGCGGUGAAAUGCGUAGAUAUCAAGAGGAACACCUGAGGUGAAGACGGGUUGCUGGGCUGACACUGACGCUGAGGCGCGAAAGCCAGGGGAGCAAACGGGAUUAGAUACCCACGUAGUCCCUGAGCGGGCUGGCAAGGCGCAU